rnacentral:rRNA from 1 species
CAGCCGCCGCGGUAAUACGUAGGGUCCGAGCGUUGUCCGGAAUUAUUGGGCGUAAAGGGCUCGUAGGCGGUUUGUCACGUCGGGAGUGAAAACUCAGGGCUCAACCCUGAGCGUGCUUCCGAUACGGGCAGACUAGAGGUAUGCAGGGGAGAACGGAAUUCCUGGUGUAGCGGUGGAAUGCGCAGAUAUCAGGAGGAACACCGGUGGCGAAGGCGGUUCUCUGGGCAUUACCUGACGCUGAGGAGCGAAAGCAUGGGGAGCGAACAGGAUUAGAUACCCUGGUAGUCCAUGCCGUAAACGUUGGGCGCUAGGUGUGGGGACCUUCCACGGUCUCCGUGCCGCAGCUAACGCAUUAAGCGCCCCGCCUGGGGAGUACGGCCGCAAGGCUAAAACUCAAAGGAAUUGACGGGGGCCCGCACAAGCGGCGGAGCAUGCUGAUUAAUUCGAUGCAACGCGAAGAACCUUACCUGGGUUUGACAUAUACCGGAAAGCCGUAGAGAUACGGCCCCUUUUAGUCGGUAUACAGGUGGUGCAUGGCC